rnacentral:misc_RNA from 1 species
CCUACAAAAAAGAGUGUGGAUGGAUUUUAAGUUCUUUACUUCUUGCGUAGCACCAAUGAUGCUCAGAAUAACACUUCAUACCUCACAUUGACUACAGUUUACAAAUUUGCAGAGUUCAUUGAACAGAUGGGACCCUCUCAGCAUAUAUGUUUUUAGUUACCAGAUUUUUAUUACAUAUACAGAGAAACAAUUCCAACGAAUCUAGUACUAAAUAGAAAUCAGCAGCUCCAUCAGAUUAUUAAAUUAUGGAACUGUUAACUAAUGAAGCUUUAGUUUGCCAGGGCAGAAAUUAUAUUCCAAAGCCAUAUUUCUGCAAACAAGACCGAGUGUAAAAUUUAGUAAUCUUACAACGGCUAUAUAACACAAGGAAGAUAGUAGAUCACUAUCCAUCAGCCAUAACGCGUAUCAAACAUUUCUUCCACCAGAACAACCUUUAUUUUGGUCAGUGGGUUAACCCAGAAAAAUAUUAUCAGGUAAUUGCUCCAAAAAAAUGAACUAGAGUGAAAGGGAUAAACUGACUUAGACUAUCGGAUAUAGACACGAUCUUUAGUCAAUCAAUUCAAUAUAUGAUCCGAAGAGUGAAAAAAAAAGCAGCAGCUUCAUGGAUAACGCAAAUUUCCCUUAAAAAAAUCAGCUCGCCUAUAAACACACAAUCCGAUCUAAACAAGCACAAGAAAUAAUGAUUCGACAUCUAAGCACAAAAUUCAACAAGCAAUCAGUUACUAGCUCUCAGUUUCAACUAAACAGACAUGAGAUAAGUUAACACUAAAUCUUAUUACUAUUUUAUUUUAAUUUCACGAAGCAAACCCUAAAAUAUGAUAAACAAUCAAGAGAAUCAACCAAAAAAAUGGAACAAAACUUACCACCACUUGAGAGGUAGAUAAAUCGGCAGGUACCGAAUCCGAAACACGAACUUGAUUUAACCUUCUGGGCGAGAUGUUAAGGACAUCUUCAAUCUCGUGAACGCCACUUCCAUUAGCAAAGUAUUGAACAUCCAACACAGGGACGCUCUGUUGACAGACAACCUUUGCUUCAGCCACCAUAUUUCAUUUACUAAACCAAAAUUUCUCUUCUCAAAAAGAUUCAAAACUCGAACUCAACACACACAAUUAGAGAUAUUUGUUUCUCUUCCUUCU